rnacentral:rRNA from 1 species
GUGCCAGCAGCCGCGGUAAUACGAAGGGGGCUAGCGUUGUUCGGAAUUACUGGGCGUAAAGCGUAUGCAGGCGGACUUUUAAGUCGGGGGUGAAAUCCCGAGGCUCAACCUCGGAACUGCCUUCGAUACUGGAAGUCUUGAGUCCGGGAGAGGUGAGUGGAACUCCGAGUGUAGAGGUGAAAUUCGUAGAUAUUCGGAAGAACACCAGUGGCGAAGGCGGCUCACUGGCCCGGUACUGACGCUGAGAUACGAAAGCGUGGGGAGCAAACAGGAUUAGAUACCCUAGUAGUCC